UGAGGAAUAUUGGUCAAUGGGCUUACGCCUGAACCAGCCAAGUCGCGUGAGGGAAGACUGCCCUAUGGGUUGUAAACCUCUUUUGCAGGGAGCAAUUGGCGCUACGUGUAGCGUUAUCGAGAGUACCUGAAGAAAAAGCAUCGGCUAACUCCGUGCC
rnacentral:rRNA from 1 species